rnacentral:rRNA from 1 species
AGACUGCCACCGUAAGGUGCGAGGAAGGGGGGGAUGACGUCAAAUCAGCACGGCCCUUACGUCCGGGGCGACACACGUGUUACAAUGGCAGGUACAGAGGGCAGCUACCCAGCGAUGGGGUGCGAAUCUCGAAAGCCUGUCUCAGUUCGGAUCGGAGUCUGCAACUCGACUCCGUGAAGUUGGAUUCGCUAGUAAUCGCGCAUCAGCCAUGGCGCGGUGAAUACGUUCCCGGGCCUUGUACACACCGCCCGUCAAGCCAUGGAAGCUGGGGGUGCCUGAAGUUCGUUACCGCAAGGAGCGACCUAGGGCAAAACUGGUAACUGGG